UGGGUAGUCUGCCCUCGAUUCUGGGAUAACGUUCAGAAAUGGGUGCUAAUACCGGAUGUUCACAGGUUCACGCAUGUGGGUUUGUGGAAAGGUUUUUCUGGUGGGGGAUGUGCUCGCGGCCUAUCAGCUUGUUGGUGGGGUAAUGGCCUACCAAGGCUUUGACGGGUAGCCGGCCUGAGAGGGUGACCGGCCACACUGGGACUGAGACACGGCCCAGACUCCUACGGGAG
rnacentral:rRNA from 1 species